rnacentral:rRNA from 1 species
UAUCCGGAUUUACUGGGUGUAAAGGGAGCGUAGACGGUUUUGCAAGUCUGAAGUGAAAGCCCGGGGCUUAACCCCGGGACUGCUUUGGAAACUGUAGAACUAGAGUGCAGGAGAGGUAAGUGGAAUUCCUAGUGUAGCGGUGAAAUGCGUAGAUAUUAGGAGGAACACCAGUGGCGAAGGGGGCUUACUGGACUGUAACUGACGUUGAGGCUCGAAAGCGUGGGGAGCAAACAGGAUUGGAUACCCUGGUAGUCCACGCCGUAAACGAUGAUUACUAGGUGUUGGUGGGUACGACCCUCGGUGCCGCAGCCAACGCAAUAGGUAAUCCACCUGGGGAGUACGUCGCAAGAAUGAA